rnacentral:rRNA from 1 species
UACGGAGGGUGCGAGCGUUAAUCGGAAUUACUGGGCGUAAAGCGCACGCAGGCGGUUUGUUAAGCUAGAUGUGAAAGCCCCGGGCUCAACCUGGGAUGGUCAUUUAGAACUGGCAGACUAGAGUCUUGGAGAGGGGAGUGGAAUUCCAGGUGUAGCGGUGAAAUGCGUAGAUAUCUGGAGGAACAUCAGUGGCGAAGGCGACUCCCUGGCCAAAGACUGACGCUCAUGUGCGAAAGUGUGGGUAGCAAACAGG